rnacentral:misc_RNA from 1 species
AACGCACAUUGCGCCCGCCAGUAUUCUGGCGGGCAUGCCUGUCCGAGCGUCAUUUCAACCCUCGAACCCCUCCGGGGGGUCGGCGUUGGGGAUCGGCCCCUCACCGGGCCGCCCCCGAAAUACAGUGGCGGUCUCGCCGCAGCCUCUCAUGCGCAGUAGUUUGCACACUCGCACCGGGAGCGCGGCGCGGCCACAGCCGUAAAACACCCCAAACUUCUGAAAUGUUGACCUCGGAUCAGGUAGGAAUACCCGCUGAACUUAA